rnacentral:rRNA from 1 species
UACGAAGGGGGCGAGCGUUGUUCGGAAUUACUGGGCGUAAAGGGCGCGCAGGCGGUCCUUCAAGUCAGAUGUGAAAGCCCCGGGCUCAACCUGGGAAUGGCAUUGGUGACUGCACGGCUAGAGUGUGUCAGAGGGGGGUAGAAUUCCACGUGUAGCAGUGAAAUGCGUAGAGAUGUGGAGGAAUACCGAUGGCGAAGGCAGCCCCCUGGGAUAACACUGACGCUCAUGCACGAAAGCGUGGGGAGCAAACAGG